CAGAAUCAGGUUGAUCAAGUCGGUAGGUGGGCACAGGGGUCUUGGGCUGACAUGCGCCGACACCCGGUACUGAAUAGCCCACGAGCAAGGGCAGAAUCGGUAUGGCAUAUAAUAAAAUGACGCAGCGGAUCGACGACAAACACUAAGGACUUGAUGCAAGUGUAGCGUUAUAUAGUCGUUUGUGAACCAGCAAUGGGCAGUGACUACCAGAUGAGCUUCUGUUGCUAAGACAUUCGCGCCCUCUCUUGGUCCAGCUUGGGGCCCAUACUGGAUCAUAGCUGAAAAUUGCACAUGCGCCAAAGGACACGGUUGUUAUUGUGUUGUUAGAAAGUAUCUUGAACACAAAUUGUUCCACUAAAAAAACCAAACUCUUUUUUUCAAAUUCUGACGUUUUUUUUUCGACGUCAAUUUUUUUUUCAAAUAGUGCCACUUUCGGGCCCGAUGGCACCCAAACUUACUCAGAAUUGGAAGCCCAAAGUCCAGGCCAGAGCUUCAGUGCCAUAUUUCUCUAAUUCCUCAAUUUCAUGGCUCUCAGGACUGUCUAAUAGAGAAUAUUUUGAGUGUACAUGUAUAACUUUUAUCGAUGAGCUCGACGGACAUGUUUUGGGCCUUUUUGCAUGGGUGCACCCAUAGGUACCCGCAAUACUCCUGUAUGAAUUCAUUGACGUACCUAGAUAAGGGGUAUGGUGUGUAAUAAUUGCAACCCCCAUAGCAACGCCUGUGCUUGACCUCAAACUUUAUCGUUUGACAUGGCAGUUGGUUGAACAAACUCAAGGCAUAUUGUGUUCCCUUUAAAAGCCAUGCCUAAAAUAUUCGAACUGGCGUUCAUGCGUAACAUCGGACUUGGAACGUUUCAAGGUCAGGACACGAGUCACAACGUCAGCGGAAAAUAAUCCGGCAACUCUGACGAAGUUAUAUAGGGAGGGGCACUAUAUAAGGACUGACCGUGGUUGGUCUAUCUAGUCUGUGCCGAUCUGCCACCUUCCAGAGGCCAUAGGAUAGAGAGAAGUCGUUACUGUUGGCAUUCUAAACCAAUAUUCGAGAUGAAGCCGAUCACCGCUCUCUUUGCGAUUUUCGCCUUGAUGUUUACGACGACUACAGCGAUACCAACCUGUCCCCAAUGGUUUGAAAAAGACGAAGGCUUGUAUGGGGUUUGCUUGUCCCCAAAAGCCCUCUCUUACGACGAAGGAUGGAGUUAUUGCUGUGGACUGCACGCCAGCCUGUGCAGUCUGGCUCAGCUGGACGAGCUCUACCAGUUGGGCGCGAGAGACUAUCGCUGGGGCCUCAUCAAUGACGAAUCGAGGGACGCGCGCCUCACGGUGUGCGGGCAAUACCUGCACACACCCGGCGAGUGCUACAACAACAACUUCCCCAACACCCCGAGGCCGGCACCAAAGAACGAGGUGUACUGCUGUAAGAUGACUAAAUAAAAAUGCCUUAUCGAUACGGUGUCGGUAAAAAUGUUUUUACGGCAAACUACUACACGGCAAUCGGAAUUUGGAAAAGCAUGGUAACUACUUUCGCAUAAACGUAGGUUUAUUGGGUCAGCGGGUGUAGCAGUUUAGAUUAAUUAAUAUGACAAUGUAUCUUUUUGAGGCUUACAUUUUGUUAAUCGAAGAAAAAGAAGGUUCAAAAACAGUGGACGCAUAAACCCAGGAGUGGUCGUGCAAUGAAGAUAUUCAAAUAGUUCCGUCACGGUCGUAUUUACACCCAGCUUCAGUGUGUCAUUGCUCGGUGCAUUUUUGGUGUCAAAAUCGGGCCGUUUUGUCCAAACGUGAUCGUGUGAACUCAGUUCAGCAAUGGGUAGCAAACACGAACAGCGCCAGUGACCUUUGUCAGAAUAUGGCCUGUCAUGGUGUUGGUAUUUGUAUGUGAUUGGAUAGGGAUUUGAAUAGCGAAUGAAAUGAACAAGUUAAAUCUUUGCUGUCCAAUAUUGUGGCGUUCUUUCAAACAAGGUUAGUCGGUCAUUUCAAAGAUAUCUGCAAAACGGUCACGUCACAAUAGGCAUGCGCCCUACAUAUUAAUAGAUGCUUAAGCAAAAAAAUAGUUUAGUGGAAAGGAUUUCUGAAUCAAGAGCAUGCUUCAAAUAAUUGUUGGUCUUCACCUUAAAGUGUUGUUGCAAUGAAUUCUUCUGUGUACUAUCAAACAACGCCUUAUGCUCUAUAGUUUAGUGGAAAAUAAAAUAUACCUUGGCACCUUUAAAAGUCAAAUUUGCAAGUCGUCGCAGUGCAUUUUUAUGAGGAGUUGAGCCUUUAAGAGUUUGUAGAGUAACUCUUGACGGUAUUUGAUAUAUACUUUGUAUUAAAAAAUCGAGCAUACCUGUCUUGCGCAAGGCGAUUUUCGAGCCAGAUGAGCCAAAGUAUAUACUUUCUCACGCGGCUGUCAAUGCUCGUGGGGCUGGCUUGCAUGUAACCCUGAACUUUACAUUGCCGUAUUUACAAAAGUAAAGUGUCUCUGAUUGAGUUGAAAUUUCAUGUUUGUAACAAUAAACUAAGUGUUUUGAGAUGCAUUUUUCAAAAAAAAUAUGGAGCGUGGCACAGAUGAGUUCUUGGGGGAGCCGAAUUUUUUCCAGAGACACCUUUUUAUUUGUCUCUUAUAUAUUGUACAUAUUGUGUAUAUUGGCUUUACGGUUUUACUGAAAAUUGUUGUCAUUAUUUCACUUUGUAAAUGCAAG